rnacentral:misc_RNA from 1 species
AACAAACAAAAGAUGCUUAGUAUAUUGAAUAUAAAAUGUCAAUUUGCCUUUAGUGCUUGUAGAAGUAAUUUACGUGAGAAGUGCACAUAUAACAAAAAACAUUGAAUUCAACUUGUAGUUACUUUCCCACUCUUAGCAAUAAAGUUUCUAUUAUAGCCCUCAGAUAUCUGCAUAGGGCUCCAAUUAUCCUGGAUCAGUAAUGUUUAAUUAAAUAUAUUGCUCUUACUCUUAGUAUACAGUUCACUUACGAUAUUUA